UACGUAGGUGACGAGCGUUGUCCGGAUUUACUGGGCGUAAAGAGCGCGCAGGCGGUCGUUCAAGUCGAGUGUGAAAGCCCCCGGCUCAACUGGGGAGGGUCACUCGAUACUGAUCGACUCGAAGACAGGAGAGGGAAGUGGAAUUCCCGGUGUAGUGGUGAAAUGCGUAGAUAUCGGGAGGAACACCAGUGGCGAAGGCGACUUUCUGGCCUGUUCUUGACGCUGAGGCGCGAAAGCUAGGGGAGCAAACGGG
rnacentral:rRNA from 1 species